rnacentral:rRNA from 1 species
UACGGGGGGAGCAAGCGUUGUUCGGAUUUACUGGGCGUAAAGGGCGCGUAGGCGGCGUAACAAGUCACUUGUGAAAUCUCCGGGCUUAACUCGGAGCGGUCAAGUGAUACUGUUGUGCUAGAGUGCGGAAGGGGCUACUGGAAUUCUCGGUGUAGCGGUGAAAUGCGCAGAUAUCGGGAGGAACACCAGUAGCGAAGGCGGCUCGCUGGGCCAUUCCGUGACGCUGAGACGCGAAAGCUAGGGAGCGAACAGG